AUUGAACGCUGGCGGCAGGCCUAACACAUGCAAGUCGAACGGUAACAGGAAGAAGCUUGCUUCUUUGCUGACGAGUGGCGGACGGGUGAGUAAUGUCUGGGAAACUGCCUGAUGGAGGGGGAUAACUACUAGAAACGGUAGCUAAUACCGCAUAACGUCGCAAGACCAAAGAGGGGGACCUUCGGGCCUCUUGCCAUCGGAUGUGCCCAGAUGGGAUUAGCUAGUAGGUGGGGUAACGGCUCACCUAGGCGACGAUCCCUAGCUGGUCUGAGAGGAUGACCAGCCACACUGGAACUGAGACACGGUCCAGACUCCUACGGGAGGCAGCAGUGGGGAAUAUUGCACAAUGGGCGCAAGCCUGAUGCAGCCAUGCCGCGUGUAUGAAGAAGGCCUUCGGGUUGUAAAGUACUUUCAGCGGGGAGGAAGGGAGUAAAGUUAAUACCUUUGCUCAUUGACGUUACCCGCAGAAGAAGCACCGGCUAACUCCGUG
rnacentral:rRNA from 1 species